GGUGUGUGUGUGUGUGUGUGUGUGUAUGCAUCUGUGUGUGUAUGUGAAUGUGUAUUUGGGCUUCAUCUGCAAUAGCAACUUAAGCUCAGAAUAAGUGAAUGGGUUGUCAAGGUGGACAUUAGCAGUGAGAGACCAAGAGUCUGGACAACAGGGAUUCAGUGAUUGGGCUAGAAGACCCAGUCAUGAAGGUCAUAGUGUGAAAACUUCCAUUUGGAAAUCUGGGAGCAGUUCUUAAGUCAAAAAACAGACCUGGAAUCACAGUAUCCAUACAUACCAGUUGGAGGACAAAAGACAUUGCCCCAGAGACCAGAGGCACCAAAAUACACUACACCUAGCUACCUGAGAAUGCCUCUAGCUGGCAACUCCAGCAAAGGCCCUUUUCCCCAUCCUUGACCAUCUUGAGUGAAAGCAAAGAACUGAAAGAUUGAAAAAUCUGAGACUGAGCGUUCCUUCCUGGAGAGACUCGUACCAUAUCAACCAGAUUGGAUAUGUAUUUAUUUUUCUUUUCUGCCAUUCAGCAUGUGGCAAAGACCCAUUUAGUUAUAAACAAAAUAAAAGAGGUUGUAUUUAUAAAAUUUUGCACAUCUAAGUUGUAGUAUGUAUUAAGUUUGUAUCCUUGUUAUAUGUGAUUCCCUGCUGUGGCCCAGCAGAUAAUAUAAACACUGUAUUUUAUAGACCCCAAAUUUAAUACUGGAAUCUUAAGCAAACAAAGUCUUUCUCACACAUUUUAUCGUAUUUGUCACUAAAAGUCCUUUGUCUCCAGAACAUCAAUCUGGGUACUGUUCCUAAGAACCCAAUUGGUACAACUUUUUGGAGUUAAUAAAAUUGUAUUCCCACUGGUUUCCAUUGCUGUUUUGUGCACAAUUCCCCACUGAGUAUUUGAUGAAUUUCUACUCCUUGGGGGCCCCAUUUUUUGUGUGAGUUUGCUGAGGAUCCAUGCGUCUUGUCACAGGGAGGAAGAUGAUUUCCUCUGAUAACAUUCCCCUGGUACCUGAGGAGCUUAUCACAGCCCUUUAUUUGGCUGUUUCUGUUAUGUUGGCAUGCGUCCAGAGCAAUGGGAAAGAAAAGGUUGUGCUUUUACAGGGAACAUUUUAUUCCCUCUUGGGAAAAGUGAACAUGACUCAAUGUCAGGAAGGGAAAUUUUUCAUUCAGAUAAAGAGAAUGAACAUCCGCCUACCUCUUUUAAUAGUUAAAACACAUUUACGGUCCGUUUGCAUUUUGUUUUCUUGAAGAGCUCAAAUUAUUUUAGAAAAUCUGAUUUAUUGAAACCAGACCUGCACCAGCUUGUUUUGUGUGUGAAGAGGGA
rnacentral:lncRNA from 1 species